UACAGAGGGUGCAAGCGUUAAUCGGAAUCACUGGGCUUAAAGCGUUCGUAGGCGGGCUUGCAGGCGCGUUGUGAAAGCCCCCGGCUCAACCGGGGAACUGCUUCGCGAACCGCAAGUCUUGAGUCAAGUAGGGGCGGUCGGAACGAUAGGUGGAGCGGUGAAAUGCGUAGAUAUCUAUCGGAACGCCAAAGGUGAAGACAGGCCGCUGGGCUUGUACUGACGCUGAGGAACGAAAGCGUGGGGAGCAAACGGGAUUAGAUACCCCGGUAGUCCACGCCGUAAACGAUGCGCACUAGGUCGGGGAGGCUUGACGCCCUCCUGGCCGAAGCAAAAGUGUUUAGUGCGCCGCCUGGGGAGUACGGUCGCAAGGCUAAA
rnacentral:rRNA from 1 species